rnacentral:misc_RNA from 1 species
CGCGUCAACUCACUGACUCGAGAUAUCUCAAUCAGGACAAAGCAAUUUAUAUACGAGUCCGCCAUGCAGUACCGAUCGGAUCAAUCACAAUUCAAUAAGCCUUAAUAAUGUACUGUACAACAAAAAUCAAAUUACACUUACAUCGUGCACAAAAUUUUCCUGGCUUUGCUGGCAAUCACCUGGAGGCAGCAUAGCGGAAGCUGCCCCUGAAAGAGGCUGUCUUGUGCUUUUGUACAACAAGUUGUAUGGAACAUUGUCGCGAUUCACAAGUCCUAUGGCUUGACAUCCAAGUGAGCUUUUCAUACAAAUAUGACGGCUCCUUACGCCUUAAAAGAUCGAAAAGAAGACAAGCUAAGUGAAAUUUGCGACGGUGUUUCAUUUUUAAAAUUGAGUGUACAUUUAAGUAAGGAGUAACGUGUUCUCUAAAGGGUAUAUCGAAGCAGAAGCGAGCACAGGCAUUCUGGAUUCUCUGUACAAGUCUCUGUGUUUUGGCGG